UAACGACUCUCGGCAACGGAUAUCUCGGCUCUCGCAUCGAUGAAGAACGUAGCGAAAUGCGAUACUUGGUGUGAAUUGCAGAAUCCCGUGAACCAUCGAGUCUUUGAACGCAAGUUGCGCCCGAAGCCGUUAGGCCGAGGGCACGCCUGCCUGGGUGUCGCAC
rnacentral:rRNA from 1 species